UCCGGGUGCUGGGAAGGACCCGAACAAAACAACUUCCGGCAGGGGAAGUAAAUCCCUGCCACUUCAAACAUCGCAGAAAGGAGCUGGGAAGGCGGAAAUCGUAAGAACUUCACGAAUGGGUCUUCCGCUGCUACAAACACGGAACGUACCAGCCUCUGCGAGAUUCCGACUUGAGCAGAGCCACUGCCCGCCGUCUUCCUGCCCCUCAUGUCGAUCGCUUGUGCCCGUGCUGCACGGAAAGGUGGUAGAGUAAGAAUUCCGCACGUGGAGCCCACGGGGAGGCCCCUGAAGCUGAGAGGACAGUAGAGGCUGCCUGAUACUGACGGGGAAGAAGGAAACGGGGAAAAUAACUGUCAUGUUGGAGAUAAAGACUCCCUAAAGACACAGAUAUCUCCACGCACGGUUGGUUCCAAAAACGAUUUUUAUUUUAAAAUAACAUUUACAAUUUUCAAAACUUUGUUCUACUAAACAAGAACUAAAAAUACAUUUUGCUAAGAAAUAUUUUACACUUAAGUAUCACUGAGGAUCUAGGAGUACGGAAGCGCUGAGCAGGAGCGCGUCUCGGCCUGAUCCCAGAAUUGAGCUGGAGUCAGGCCUGUGCUCCGCGCCUGCUCCGGGCUGUUUAUUUUUCACUUUUAUUGUCCAGGACCACAAAGUUCGUCAGAAAUCUGCUCACGAUUCUUGGUCUCCUUCCUUUUUUUAUUAUGUAAACGAAAAUUUACAAAUGCCUUGGCACUAAUAGUU